rnacentral:rRNA from 1 species
AGCGAACGCUGGCGGCAGGCCUAACACAUGCAAGUCGAACGACCUCUUCGGUGUUAGUGGCGGACGGGUGAUUACCCCGUGGGAACUUGCCUUUUUGCUCGGAAUAACCCACGGAAACUUAUGCUCAUACCGAAUGUGCCCUCCGGGGGUAAGAUUUUUCGCCAUUAGAGCGGCCCGCGUCUGAUUAGCUAGUUGGUGAGGUAACGGCCCACCAAGGCGACGAUUAGUAGCUGGUCUGAGAGGAUGACCGGCCACACUGGGACUGAGACACGGCCCAGACUCCUACGGGAGGCAGCAGUGGGGAAUCUUGCGCAAUGGGCGAACGCCUGACGAAGCCAUGCCGCGUGAAUGAUGAAGGUCUUAGGAUUGUAAAAUUCUUUCAGCGGGGACGAUAAUGACGGUACCCGGAGAAGAAGCCCCGGCUAACUUCGUG